UUGAGUUUGUCCUAAAAGGCUCCUGUAGUUCGGGCAAGUUUCUGAGGAAGGCUGUUUCGGCAGUGAUAAACUUUGUCAUUAUGCUUUGCUGACUACCAGGAAACAUCUGUCUUGAUUUUCUCAGCCACGCUGGCAAGGGCUCCAUCUCCUUCUUUACUCGAUCAGCGCAGCCUCUGGAUCACAUCAGAAACACCUUUCAACUGUACAUCUGAGUUCCAAGGUCCAUUAACCUGAUGCAGAAUUGAAGCUCAGUGACUCUACGUUCUUCCAAUGGAUGGACAUCUCCUUCGUCUUUUCUGUGUGGGCAUAAUGGAAAAGGUGGAACAAAUCCCAUCAUCUCUGAAAGAGGUUAAGCUGUAAUGCUGGAGGCUUUCCUUAACGUGGUUACAAAGAUCUCAACAGCUCCACUUUGUUUCUGCUCAACCACCUGCUCCUUGUUCAUUUGUCAUCUCCAGCUUUAAUAACUCAGUUAAACAGAAUGAAAAAUGAAGACAGAAAUUUCCUGAAAAGAGUGUUUGUCAGCAAUAAUGGGAGACAGACUUCAGUGAGAUGGGAACUGAGCAUUCCUGACACGGCUGCUGUAAAUAGACUCUGGGAAACUGGAAAAGGAGCAAAAGAAAACGAUCUGCACGCAAAGCACGUGAUCAUGAGGACAUGUCUUGUCAACAACCCUCCUCACGUGACCUCAAAGAUCUUCUGUCACAUUUGGUUAUGGGCGCUGGCUGUGACAUUCCAAAACUUCCAUUCUCUCCAGGCGCUGUGCAGCCAAGUGUGUCCACUCCAAUCCCUGACAGGUCCUUUGAAUUUGCACAGCCAGUCAUCCAGCUGCUGAGCCCAGGUCCCAGUCUGUGCCACCCAGGGGACCUGAAGAGAGCUGUGGUUCUGAGAAGAGGCCCUUUCUGUCCAUCACCUUCAACAUUUCCCUCAGCAGAACAUUCAAUUUAUUUUAUAGCUUCACUCCACUUGAUAGCACUGACCUCCCAGAUCCCUUGGAGAGUAAUGAGAUGGCAGGACUGAUCUGAGCGUUGAGACCGCCCUGCUCGGAUCUUCAGGAGAGUCGCCCUGUAAUAAAAAGGGAGAAGGCUGAAAAGGGGAUUAAUUUUGUUCAAGCUGUUUUGUGUUUUCAAAAGAAACUCCUCUCAAACCCCAGAGAACCUGCAGUAGUGUCCCUUCUCUGAUAGGCAUGUGUGAUCGGUUCGUCACGCCCGUGAUUCAUCUUUAAAGCUAAAUAAAAAGGACAGGUUGCAAUGCAGAGCUGCGUCUCGCAUGACAGCAUGUCCCAGAGUUGACUCAAAAUGUCAGCAAGGAGCAGAACUGUUUAGAAAGAGGUCAGAUUUCAAUUAGAAGAGUGCCAUGCUGUGGCCAGAGGAAGAAAAUGCACCCAUUGAAUUCGUGGAAACAAAACACUUUUUGAAAACUUUGGCUUCAGAGAUUUGGAAAAGUUUUUAUUCAUUGACCAGAUGACAUAAAAAGCAUACGAAACCUCAACAUUUAGGCCUAUGGGGGUUGCGUUGGCAGUGAAGCUACUCGAUACUUAGAUACAAACAACAAAAAAGUAGAAUGUAUUAAAGAUAAUUAACAAUUAACUAAAGCACCAAUUUUAGCCGGUCACGUUCAUGAUAAAAUGUUUAGCUUUUGUCCCUCAUUCAAAAAUGUGUAAUACUACAAAGUCAAUGAAUAAAUUUGUUUUCUCUAUAGGUUUUAGUAAAACUUUAAUUGAAUAUCAAAUACUGUAUCUUAUUUCAGUCAUUUGAGACGCACACCACCGAUCUUUGUUUUUACACCAGCCUGUCACUCACACAGGUCACAGCUGUAUUCCUUCCUGUCCCACUGAUUAACAAAAACAUUAAUCAGACCUUCAGGUGAUUACUAUGUAUAAACAUCAUUGAUACUCCAUGUGGCCUUGAUGUCAACAUGUUUCCCUGUGUUUAUGUCAGAAGAUGGCCAUGUGUCCUUCACCUGUGCAUAAGCUUCUCGCUGGACAAUUACAGUGCAACCUUAUUCCGAGGAGAGAGAAGCGCGCGGUGGCAGAGUUAGAUGAACAGAAAAAAUAGGAGACAGUUAAUGGCAGAGAAACUUGGAAGUUAAGAGAGAUAAAGUGGAAGUGAAUAGGGAAGAGAAACGUAAGGCAGCGACAGAGAAAAGCUAGGAGUUAGGCAUGAGGAAGUGGCUGAGAGCGUAGAAGAUAAAGAGGAAGAUAAAUCUGGCAGAGUUUGGAGUCCUGGAAGAAAGGAAACAUUGAGUAAGACAUCUGCGGUGGGCGAGGACAACUGUGUCCUUUUGAGGACACAGUGGCAACGUUUGAGUCCUAUCUAUCAGAAACUAGUUGCAUUUAGUUUCCUCCUGUGUCUAAAUAAAUUCU